UACAGAGGGGGCAAGCGUUGUUCGGAAUUACUGGGCGUAAAGGGCUCGUAGGCGGCCAACUAAGUCAGACGUGAAAUCCCUCGGCUUAACCGGGGAACUGCGUCUGAUACUGGAUGCUUGAGUUUGGGAGAGGGAUGCGGAAUUCCAGGUGUAGCGGUGAAAUGCGUAGAUAUCUGGAGGAACACCGGUGGCGAAGGCGGCAUCCUGGACCAACACUGACGCUGAGGAGCGAAAGCCAGGGAGC
rnacentral:rRNA from 1 species